rnacentral:rRNA from 1 species
AGAGUUUGAUCCUGGCUCAGGAUGAACGCUGGCGGCGUGCCUAACACAUGCAAGUCGAACGCCCCGCAAGGGGAGUGGCAAACGGGUGAGUAACACGUAAGUAACCUACCUCAAAGACCGGAACAACUAGUCGAAAGAUUGGCUAAUCCCGGAUGUGUCCGGAGAGAGGCAUCUCUUUCCGGGUAAACCCAGCAAUGGGCUUUGAGACGGGCUUGCGUCCUAUCAGCUAGUUGGCGGGGUAACGGCCCACCAAGGCUAUGACGGGUAGCUGGUCUGAGAGGACGACCAGUCACAAGGGAACUGAGACACGGUCCCUACUCCUACGGGAGGCAGCAGUGAGGAAUUUUCCACAAUGGACGAAAGUCUGAUGGAGCGACGCCGUGUGUGCGAUGAAGUCCUUCGGGAUGUAAAGCACUGUCAGGGGGGACGAUAUUGACGGUACCCCCAGAGGAAGGCCCGGCUAACUACGUGCCAGCAGCCGCGGUAAUACGUAGGGGCCAAGCGUUGUCCGGAAUUAUUGGGCGUAAAGGGCGCGUAGGCGGCCCGGUAAGUCGGAUGUUAAAUCCACAGGCUCAACCUGUGGCCGCGUCCGAUACUGCCAGGCUAGAGAAUGGUAGAGGAAAGCGGAACUUCCGGUGUAGCGGUGAAAUGCGUAGAUAUCGGAAGGAACACCAGUGGCGAAGGCGGCUUUCUGGGCCAUUUCUGACGCUGAGGCGCGAAAGCCAGGGGAGCAAACGGGAUUAGAUACCCCGGUAGUCCUGGCCCUAAACGAUGUUCAUUAGGUGUUAAAGGUAUCGACC